GAUCAUGGCUCAGGAUGAACGCUGGCGGCGUGCAUAACACAUUCAAGUCGAGCGAAGCACGUUUGGGACGAUCCCUUCGGGGUGAAGCCUGAUUUGACUUAGUGGCGGACGGGUGAGUAACGCGUGAGCAACCUGCCUUUCAUUGCGGGAUAACGGCCGGAAACAGCCGCUAAUACCGCAUAAUGUAGUGAGAUCGCAUGGUUUUACUACCAAAGAUUUAUUGAUGAAAGAUGGGCUCGCGUCUGAUUAGAUAGUUGGUGAGGUAACGGCUCACCAAGUCGACGAUCAGUAGCCGGACUGAGAGGUUGAACGGCCACAUUGGAACUGAGAUACGGUCCAGACUCCUACGGGAGGCAGCAGUGGGGAAUAUUGGGCAAUGGGCGAAAGCCUGACCCAGCGACGCCGCGUGCGGGAAGAAGGCCUUUGGGUUGUAAACCGCUGUAGACAAGGACGAAACAAAUGACGGUACUUGUAAAGUAAGCCACGGCUAACUACGUG
rnacentral:rRNA from 1 species